AGUCGUAACAAGGUAUCCGUAGGUGAACCUGCGGAUGGAUCAUUACCAAAGACCUCUGUCUUUUACGUUAUGUGAACAGUUUAGGCUUUUGAGGUGUCGGGGAAGUGUGUGUUGUUUUUGUGGUCCUGUGUGUCACAGAGACCCACGCGCUCCGGCUCCUUGUUUUAAACUACGUAAUUUUUGAAACUGAAGUCUGCCAUUGAGGUUUUGGUGAAAACUAAAAACAACUUUUAGCAACGGAUCUCUUGGCUCUC
rnacentral:misc_RNA from 1 species